rnacentral:lncRNA from 14 species
GUUAUAGGGCAGGCCUCUUAGCUUUUUAUUUCAAUUUUAAAUAUUCGAAGUAAAGUGUUGUUCACCAGGGAGGGGUUGGGCAAACCCAGGGCUGGGGACUCUGCAGGUUCCCACUUUCACUUCAGAUUGUAACCUGUUUCAUGUCCUUCUGCCUGGAUACUGGUGAUUGUCCCACAGGUUUCAUCCUUAUUAGGUCACAACAGCCUGGGGAACCAACCAGCUUCUCUUAAGGCACUGGUUCCAACUAGUUUCCAGUUUCCCAGAACCCAGAUGGGGGAGAGGGGUCAGGGUAGCUGCUCCUGCUGCUGGCUGCCUCCCUGGCCCCAAGGCAGACCCAGGCAGGAUAUUUCUCCCUUCAGGCUGAGACUUCUUUGGUCUUUUUCCAGUCGUAGACCUUGGGAGACUGCAGUCAUUUUGGUUGUGACAGGAGCGUGGGGAUCUGCAGCCCUCUGUUUGUUCUGGGGAAGAAAUAGAACCCAGGAUCAUCCCAUGAGUUGGAACCACUGAGGCUGCAAGAAGAGGGUCCAAGCCAAGGGUACAGAAAACCCUGAUGAUGAGAACAGAGCCUAAAUAUUCCCCACAGAUUCCCCCAGGAGAUCUGGACAAAACCAUGAGAGGCUGGAUAUGGCUGCUGAGCGAAUGCAAACCGCUGUCAGGGGUGAUCAAGCAGUGGGGGUAGGAGGAUAGGGUUUGGUCUCAAAACAGGGUUUUUCUCAUUGGCUGUCCUGGAACUCCCUGGGUGGAUCAGGCUGGCCUCAAAUUCAGAGCCACCUGCCUGUGCAUCCUGAGUGCCAGGAUUAAACAUGUGUGCCAAGAUGCCCGGCAAGGGUACCCUCAUUUUUAUGAGAGACAUGGCCCUUUUCCUAUACUCCAUGUCCAUAAAAUAAAGAAUAAAUUCUGAAAACAUCUGAAUGUGCUGGCAGUUCUGAUUUUGUGUGUGUUGUGGGGCGUGUUGGACAAUAAGAAAUAACAGAAGGGAAGCAAAGAGAAGGACUGGAGGGCAGAGAGUAGGACACAGAGUGGUGGGCAGGAGAGUGGAGGGGGCAGAGUGGAGGGGGCAGAGUGGAGGGGGCAGAGUGGAGGGGGCAGAGUGGAGGGGGCAGAGUGGAGGGGGCAGAGUGGAGGGAAUUUGAGAGGAGGGGAACAGGUUGAGUGGGGCAGAGUGGAGGGAAUGAGAGUGGAGGGGGCAGAGUGGAGGGGGCAGAGUGGAGGGGGCAGAGUGGAGGGGGCAGAGUGGAGGGGGCAGGGUGGAGGGGGCAGAGUGGAGGGGGCAGAGUGGAGGGGGCAGAGUGGAGGGAAUGAGAGUGGAGGGGAACAGGUUGAGUGGGGCAGAGUGGAGGGGUACAGUGUGGGGACAGAGUGAACGGCAGCAGAGUGACCAGUAGAAGGGUGGGUGAGUCAUCCCCAAACCUUUUGUUCCCUUCCUAGUCUGAAUCUUCCACUUUGUCCUUUCUAUACUUUUUCCUCCUGCCUUCCUCUCAUAAGGAUACAAUUCAGUGUCCUGGUUUUUUCAUCCUGUAUCUUUCCUGGUGAUCCCCUUACUCCCCUGUAUUUACCAAGUUCCCAGAGCUGCUCCCAGUAACCUGGAAAUCCUCCAAAGCAGCUGAGCUCCUGAAGCUUUGUACUUCCCAGCUGCCUGGGACCCCAGCACCAAGAGGUACCUGCUUUGCAGUUAAACAGGGACAUCAUGAG